rnacentral:RNase_P_RNA from 1 species
GAAGCUGACCAGACAGUCGCCGCUUCGUCGUCGUCCUCUUCGGGGGAGACGGGCGGAGGGGAGGAAAGUCCGGGCUCCAUAGGGCAGGGUGCCAGGUAACGCCUGGGGGGGAAACCCACGACCAGUGCAACAGAGAGCAAACCGCCGAUGGCCCGCGUAAGCGGGAUCAGGUAAGGGUGAAAGGGUGCGGUAAGAGCGCACCGCGCGGCUGGUAACAGUCCGUGGCACGGUAAACUCCACCCGGAGCAAGGCCAAAUAGGGGUUCAUAAGGUACGGCCCGUACUGAA